UCCAGGGUAGCCGAGUGGACAAGGAACCUGCCCGGUAAGCAGAAGGGUGUGGGUUCGAUUCCCGCCCCUGGAC
rnacentral:tRNA from 1 species